rnacentral:rRNA from 1 species
CAUGCCAAUGGCACUGCCCGGUAGCUAAAUGCGGAAGAGAUAAGUGCUGAAAGCAUCUAAGCACGAAACUUGCCCCGAGAUGAGUUCUCCCUGACUCCUUGAGAGUCCUGAAGGAACGUUGAAGACGACGACGUUGAUAGGCCGGGUGUGUAAGCGCAGCGAUGCGUUGAGCUAACCGGUACUAAUGAACCGUGAGGCUUAACCUUACAACGCCGAAGGUGUUU